CCGUGUUACUCCGAAACCUCCCUAUUCAUUAUAGAACAGCGUCGUUUAUCACAGUGCUGCUACUCGUUCCGCCACUUAUCAUCGCCCCGGUGGAAAAACAGACACGAAAGCAGACACCACACCGACUGAGUCCGUAGAUCUACCCGUAAGCUGAAACGGCGCAGUUUAAGGACCUCUGCCGUGAUGAGGUUUGGUCUGGGCGCAGCACGGGGCAGAGAGCACACGCUCACUCUCGGCAGCAUUGGGACCGCUCUGGGGAGGAGACCUGGCUGAUAUCAUGCUGGUGCCUGGCUCUGAAACAUUUAAAAAUACAAUAAAAUGUCACCCAUGUAA